rnacentral:rRNA from 1 species
AAUCAACGCUGGCGGCGUGCCUCAGACAUGCAAGUCGAACGAGAAAGUUCCCUUCGGGGAAUGAGUAAAGUGGCGCACGGGUGAGUAACACGUAGGUAAUCUACCUUCGGGUGGGGAAUAACCCAGGGAAACUUGGGCUAACACCGCAUAAUGCAGCGGCACCACAUGGUGACAGUUGUUAAAGCGGGGGAUUUUAGGACCUCGCGCCUGAAGAGGAGCCUGCGGCGGAUUAGCAGUUGGUAGGGUAACGGCUUACCAAGGCGACGAUCCGUAACCGGCCUGAGAGGGCGGGUCGGUCACACUGACACUGACAUACGGGUCAGACUCCUACGGGAGGCAGCAGUCGGGAAUUUUGGGCAAUGGGCGAAAGCCUGACCCAGCAACGCCGCGUGAAGGAUGAAAUCCCUCGGGAUGUAAACUUCGCAAGAUUGGGAAGAAUUAGUAGGGUUAUACCCUCUAUGAUGACGGUACCUUUUGUAAGCUCCGGCUAACUCCGUGCCAGCCGCCGCUGU